CAUCCUGUAGCUGGAGAGCAGCUUCCGGCUCGGCAACCAAUCUACUGGUCGGUGUCGCCAUAUAAGUGUAGGGGGCGCGCCGGCGGCCGACUUGCAGCUUUUGAACCGGGUUCCAGAGGGUGUGCUAGCACCAUGUCCGGCCGCGAAGGUGGCAAGAAGAAGCCCUUGAAACAGCCCAAGAAACAGGCCAAGGAGAUGGACGAGGAAGAUAGAGCGUUCAAACAGAAGCAAAAAGAGGAGCAGAAGAAACUCGAGGAGCUAAAAACGAAGGCCGCGGGAAGGGGUCCCCUGGCCACAGGUGGAAUUAAGAAAUCUGG